rnacentral:ncRNA from 1 species
CUUAUCAAGAGCGGCGGAGGAAACAGGUCCUGUGAAGCCCGGCAACCUGACAUUCAAGGUGCUAAAUCCUGCGGUUUAACCGGAAGAUGAGG